UACGUAGGGGGCUAGCGUUGUCCGGAAUCAUUGGGCGUAAAGCGCGUGUAGGCGGUUCGGUAAGUCCGCUGUGAAAGUCCAGGGCUCAACCCUGGGAUGCCGGUCGAUACUGCCGGACUAGAGUUCGGAAGAGGCGAGUGGAAUUCCCGGUGUAGCGGUGAAAUGCGUAGAUAUCUGGAGGAAUACCGGUGGCGAAGGCGGCAUCCUGGACCAUUACUGACACUGAAAAGCGAAAGCCAGGGGAGCAAACGGG
rnacentral:rRNA from 1 species